UACAGGGGGGGCAAGCGUUGUUCGGAAUUACUGGGCGUAAAGGGCGCGUAGGCGGCCUUCUAAGUCAGACGUGAAAUCCCCCGGCUUAACCUGGGAACUGCGUCUGAUACUGGAGGGCUUGAGUGCGGGAGAGGGAUGUGGAAUUCCAGGUGUAGCGGUGAAAUGCGUAGAUAUCUGGAGGAACACCGGUGGCGAAGGCGGCAUCCUGGACCGACACUGACGCUGAGGCGCGAAAGCUAGGGUAGCAAACGGG
rnacentral:rRNA from 1 species